GACGAACGCUGGCGGCGUGCUUAACACAUGCAAGUCGAACGGAAAGGCCCUGCUUGCCGGGUACUCGAGUGGCGAACGGGUGAGUAACACGUGGGUGAUCUGCCCUGCACUUCGGGAUAAGCUUGGGAAACUGGGUCUAAUACCGGAUAGGAACCAUCUUUAGUGUGGUGGUUGGAAAGUUUUUUCGGUGUAGGAUGAGCUCGCGGCCUAUCAGCUUGUUGGUGGGGUAAUGGCCUACCAAGGCGGCGACGGGUAGCCGGCCUGAGAGGGUGUACGGCCACAUUGGGACUGAGAUACGGCCCAGACUCCUACGGGAGGCAGCAGUGGGGAAUAUUGCACAAUGGGCGCAAGCCUGAUGCAGCGACGCCGCGUGGGGGAUGAAGGCCUUCGGGUUGUAAACUCCUUUCGCUAGGGACGAAGCUUUGUUGUGACGGUACCUAGAGAAGAAGCACCGGCUAACUACGUG
rnacentral:rRNA from 1 species